rnacentral:rRNA from 1 species
GUAAAGAGCUCGUAGGCGGUUUGUCGCGUCUGCUCGAAACCCCGAGGCUCAACCUCGGGCCUGCAGUGGGUACGGGCAGACUAGAGUGCGGUAGAGGAGAUUGGAAUUCCUGGUGUAGCGGUGGAAUGCGCAGAUAUCAGGAGGAACACCGAUGGCGAAGGCAGAUCUCUGGGCCGUAACUGACGCUGAGGAGCGAAAGGGUGGGGAGCAAACAGGCUUAGAUACCCUGGUAGUCCACCCCGUAAACGUUGGGAACUAGUUGUGGGGUCCAUUCCACGGAUUCCGUGACGCAGCUAACGCAUUAAGUUCCCCGCCUGGGGAGUACGGCCGCAAGGCUAAAACUCAAAGGAAUUGACGGGGACCCGCACAAGCGGCGGAGCAUGCGGAUUAAUUCGAUGCAACGCGAAGAACCUUACCAAGGCUUGACAUAUACGAGAACGGGUCCAGAAAUGGUCAACUCUUUGGACACUCGUAAACAGGUGGUGCAUGGUUG